UCCGCGACACGAGCUCAGGCAAUACAAUUGAAUGACAUGCCCUCGCAGUGCAACAUCUGCCUAAUAACACGCCCAAGCUCGGAGAUCAUCUCCAGCCUUAACAUAAGAGCAUACGUCCGUGCAAGAACUGCAUCGUCGGCAAGAUACGAGCUUGUGUGCCCAUGCGAGGCAGAUCCAAGAAUGUGUGCCUCGGCCGAAGGGGACG
rnacentral:lncRNA from 1 species